UGCCUGGGAGUGGGGGAUAACGUUCGGAAACGAACGCUAAUACCGCAUACGUCCUACGGGAGAAAGCAGGGGACCUUCGGGCCUUGCGCUAUCAGAUGAGCCUAGGUCGGAUUAGCUAGUUGGGGAGGUAAUGGGUCACCAAGGCGACGAUCCGUAACUGGGCUGAGAGGAUGAUCAGUCACACUGGAACUGAGACACGGUCCAGACUCCUACGGGAGGCAGCAGUGGGGAAUAUUGGACAAUGGGCGAAAGCCUGAUCCAGCCAUGCCGCGUGUGUGAAGAAGGUCUUCGGAUUGUAAAGCACUUUAAGUUGGGAGGAAGGGGAUUAACCUAAUACGCUGGUGUUUUGACGUUACCGACAGAAUAAGCACCGGCUAACUCUGUGCCAGCAC
rnacentral:rRNA from 1 species